AAAACAUAAGCCCAAUAAUCAAUUAAGUGAAAGAGGCCCACUAAAAAGUUAGGCCCAACUGAAUUAAAUUAGGAAAGGCCCAAUUGUAGAAUAAAAUAAAUUAGGCCCAACUGGAACAAUAUUACUGGACUCAAAUAAUUAAAUAGAUCUAGGCUCAAAUAAAAAAAAAUAGCAGUCCAACUGAGAUAAAUAAUUCUGGGCUCAAUAAAAUUAUGUUGUUGGGUUCAAAUAAUUAAAAUAGGAAGCCCAAAUAAAGCAAGGUCCAUUUCUUCUCAAUUAUUCGGCCCAAUUGAAUAUAAAAAUAAAGGCCCAAAACAAUUUAAACAAAGCCCAAGCUUAAAAUUCGGCCCAAAAGAAAUUAGUGGCCCAAAACAUAGCCCAACUUAAAAAAAAAACAAAAGCCCAAACCUCUAUCUCUUUACUCAACUCUCGGUCUUCUUUUUUUUUUUUCUCACCCACACAAUUUCAUAACUCUCUCUCUCUCAAAGAAAUACACACACACAGACGCACGCUUCGGUUCUCUCUCUCUCUCGAUCCCUCUCCAGCCGAGGCGGGCGCCGCCGCCGCUGCCGGCGCGGCCGUGCCUGGCAGAGGGUGGCACACCUUGCCGUCUCACUCUCCUCUCUCUCUCAAGGAGUUGCUCGCCCCUUCCUCUCCAGCCUGCUCGCUCGGCUCCAUCCUCCGCACAGGUCGGCUCCUCCUACCCCGGCAGUGCAGCGGCAGUCGGCUCCGGUUGGCUUCGAUUUUCGACACUUCAAAUCAGCGUCGUUCUCUCUCCUCAGCGCAGAGCCCCCAAAAUCGUGCCCUAGAGUCAACUACCAGGUUGCUGCCGCCGUUGUCUGGAGCCAUCGCCGCCGUCUGGAGUUGCUGCUGCUCGUCCGAUGGUCAGCGCCGACUGCUGCUGCUUCGCCGGGAGUCGCCGCCGACUGGAGUUGCUGCUCUCGACCUUGCUCUCUGUUUCUCUACUCCCAAGUCAUCUCCCCCUUUCAAUCUAUGGAGCGGAGGAAAAUCCUUACUCCUAAUUCAGAAAUCGCCUCAGCUCGACGCCGCUCUACUAUGAAAUUCCGGCGAGCAGGAGAGUGUCCGACGCCCUCAUCGAUUCUCCGAUGAGUAGUAAAUCAGGGUAGGGCGGUGUCCGCUGCUCCCCUCUUUCACUCGUGUACACGAACGAGGGAAAGGCCGAGUUCUCGGUCCUCUUAGCUCAGGCGAGAGAGUCACCGCCGUCCACCUCUCGUUCGACGGAAUAGUCAAGUCGGCUCCUUCUCGGUACAUUGAAACAGGUGAGUAAGGAAUGAAUGGAGGUGAAUGGAGGAAGGUUGCUGCUGAAUUGUUUGCUUGAAGAAGUGUUGGCUAGUAGCUUUCAAGAAUCGAAGGUGGUGGGGAGAAUGUAGUGGAGGAAAGCAAAAGGUGGUGGGCAAAGGAUUGUAGUGCACACUUUUCCUUAUCUUAUCUUGCUUUGCAA